CACCGCACGUAUUCCUCUUCCUCCCCAAAUCGUUUCCGUUCAGAUCGCUCGCCCCAGGCUUCUUCCUCCCAAAAUCAAAAUCAUUCAAAGCGCGCGCACCAGGCUUUUUCCUCCCCAACUUGAAAGCUUUCAGGGCAUUUGCACCAGACCUGCGACAGCACCAGCAGGACAGCAAAGAGCGUUCAGACCAGAGACUUGCAGUGGUAGCAUCGGCAAGACGGUAACCCUCCGUGAUUUGCGAAUUUUGAAGGUUGAAGAGUGGCUAAUGUGUUGUUCUUGGAAUCACUAGUUGGAGUGGGCUUUUCCUACUUAAACACUUCGUCUGAUUAUGAUCAAGCAGGAGAUAAGUUUACAGCAAAAGAUGCCUAUGUGUUCCUCAUCAAUUGGCUUGAGAGAUUUCCACAAUACAAAUUCAGAGAUUUCUUGAUCAUUGGAGAGAGCUACGCUGGUCAUUAUCUGCCUCAACUUGCUUACACCAUUUUGGUCCAAAAUAUUUUCUCUGGACAAACCAUUAUCAACCUUAAAGGCAUUGCUGAACAAUAGACUGACAAAAACAAAAGGAAGGCUGAAUGGACAUUUACAAACAUAGAUUGACAAAAAACAAGAGGAAGGCUGAAAGCUGUCCAAUGAUGGAUGGAGAUUAAUUUGCUACUAAAUGCUGGUAGGGGCAGAUGAUUGUUGUCCAAUAAAGCAAAGCAAGUGCCAUCCAACAAAAAGAAUCAUACUAUGAAGUCAUGUGCUCCAAAAGAGGAGAUGGGGAUAUACCAUAAUGUCCAAAAAAUUGUGUAAUGCUUGUGAAUCCAAAAAAAUGGCCAGCAACCUAUCUUGCAUCUAUUUUAAUGUCCUGUAUGAAGAAGAAAUUGUAGCUAGUUAGGUUUAUGUAAUGUGAUGUCCAUAUGUGAUAAGACAAUCUAUGUAUACAAGUAGCAAAUGUACAAAAACUUUGAAAUGAAUGAAAGAUUAUUCCAUCUA